rnacentral:rRNA from 1 species
GACGAACGCUGGCGGCGUGCUUAACACAUGCAAGUCGAACGGAAAGGCCCUGCUUUUGUGGGGUGCUCGAGUGGCAAACGGGUGAGUAACACGUGAGUAACCUGCCCUUGACUUUGGGAUAACUUCAGGAAACUGGGGCUAAUACCGGAUAGGAGCUCCUGCUGCAUGGUGGGGGUUGGAAAGUUUCGGCGGUUGGGGAUGGACUCGCGGCUUAUCAGCUUGUUGGUGGGGUAGUGGCUUACCAAGGCUUUGACGGGUAGCCGGCCUGAGAGGGUGACCGGCCACAUUGGGACUGAGAUACGGCCCAGACUCCUACGGGAGGCAGCAGUGGGGAAUAUUGCACAAUGGGCGGAAGCCUGAUGCAGCAACGCCGCGUGCGGGAUGACGGCCUUCGGGUUGUAAACCGCUUUCGCCUGUGACGAAGCGUGAGUGACGGUAAUGGGUAAAGAAGCACCGGCUAACUACGUGCCAGCAGCCGCGGUGAUACGUAGGGUGCGAGCGUUGUCCGGAUUUAUUGGGCGUAAAGGGCUCGUAGGUGGUUGAUCGCGUCGGAAGUGUAAUCUUGGGGCUUAACCCUGAGCGUGCUUUCGAUACGGGUUGACUUGAGGAAGGUAGGGGAGAAUGGAAUUCCUGGUGGAGCGGUGGAAUGCGCAGAUAUCAGGAGGAACACCAGUGGCGAAGGCGGUUCUCUGGGCCUUUCCUGACGCUGAGGAGCGAAAGCGUGGGGAGCGAACAGGCUUAGAUACCCUGGUAGUCCACGCUGUAAACGGUGGGUACUAGGUGUGGGGUCCAUUCCACGGGUUCCGUGCCGUAGCUAACGCUUUAAGUACCCCGCCUGGGGAGUACGGCCGCAAGGCUAAAACUCAAAGGAAUUGACGGGGCCCCGCACAAGCGGCGGAGCAUGCGGAUUAAUUCGAUGCAACGCGUAGAACCUUACCUGGGUUUGACAUGGAUCGGGAGCGCUCAGAGAUGGGUGUGCCUCUUUUGGGGUCGGUUCACAGGUGGUGCAUGGCUGUCGUCAGCUCGUGUCGUGAGAUGUUGGGUUAAGUCCCGCAACGAGCGCAACCCUUGUUCACUGUUGCCACCACGUUAUGGUGGGGACUCAGUGGAGACCGCCGGGGUCAACUCGGAGGAAGGUGGGGAUGACGUCAAGUCAUCAUGCCCCUUAUGUCCAGGGCUUCACGCAUGCUACAAUGGCUGGUACAGAGAGUGGCGAGCCUGUGAGGGUGAGCGAAUCUCGGAAAGCCGGUCUCAGUUCGGAUUGGGGUCUGCAACUCGACCUCAUGAAGUCGGAGUCGCUAGUAAUCGCAGAUCAGCAACGCUGCGGUGAAUACGUUCCCGGGGCU